AGACCUUGUGACUUCACAACAUCACAUCUGCCUUUAAACGGGGGAACAUGAACCAUUUUCACACACACAAUACCUCUGCCAUGAAGGAUGUUCAGUCUAUGGAGGCAGUGUCUAUGCCUUUAAAUGAGGGGAUUGUCUCUAUCUGCAACAUCUGCAAGUUCCUCAAAA